ACGCACGCUGGCGGCGUGCUUAACCCAUGCAAGUCGCACGGAAAGGCCCUGCUUUUGUGGGGUGCUCGAGUGGCGAACGGGUGAGUAACACGUGAGUAACCUGCCCUUGACUUUGGGAUAACUUCAGGAAACUGGGGCUAAUACCGGAUAGGAGCUCCUGCUGCAUGGGGGGGGGUGGAAAGUUUCGGCGGUUGGGGGUGGACUCGCGGCUUAUCAGCUUGUUGGUGGGGUAGUGGCUUACCAAGGCUUUGACGGGUAGCCGGCCUGAGAGGGUGACCGGCCACAUUGGGACUGAGAUACGGCCCAGACUCCUACGGGAGGCAGCAGUGGGGAAUAUUGCACAAUGGGCGGAAGCCUGAUGCAGCAACGCCGCGUGCGGGAUGACGGCCUUCGGGUUGUAAACCGCUUUCGCCUGUGACGAAGCGUGAGUGACGGUAAUGGGUAAAGAAGCACCGGCUAACUACGUG
rnacentral:rRNA from 1 species